AUGUCAAUCAAAAACCUGUCAAAAAACGUCAAUCAGUCCGUGGGUCUGUCCUGGUGUGUCCGUCUGGGGCUGUCUGUGUGUCCAUCCAGGUGUGUCCAGGUGUGUCCGUGUGUCCAGGUGUGUCCGUGGCUCUGUCCAGGUCUGUCCGUGUGUCCGUCCGGGGCUGUCGCUGUCCUGGGGGGGUCUGUCCAUGGGUCUGGCCCUGCUGGACAUCUGUCCGUGUGUCUGUGCUGUGUGUCCGUGUGUCUGUGUGUCCAUCCGUCCGUGUGUCUGUCCCGUGUCUGUGUGUCCGUGUGUCUGUGCCAAGCGUCCGUCUGUCCCGUGUGUCCGUCCCAUGUCCGUGUGUCUGUACCGCGUCCAUCUGUCCGUGUGUCUGCGCCGUGUGUCUGUGUGUCUAUCUGUCCAUGUGUCCAUGUGUCCAUCCCAUCUGUCCGUGUGUCCGUGUGUCUGUGUGUCCAUCUGUCCGUGUGUCCAUGUGUCCAUCCCAUCUGUCCGUGUGUCUGUUCCGACCGUCUGUCUGUCCAUCCCGUGUGUCCGUGUGUCCGCCCUGUGUCCAUCUGUCCACGUGUCUGUGCCCAUGUGUCCGUGUGUCCGUCCCGUGUCCGUGUGUCCGUACCGCGUCCAUCUAUCCGUGCGUCUGCGCCGUGUGUCUGUGUGUCCGUGUGUCCAUCUGUCCGUGUGUCCGUCCUGUCUGUCCAUCCCGUGUGUCCGUGUGUCCGCCCUGUGUCCAUCUGUCCACGCGUCUGUGCUGUGUGCCCGUGUGUCCGUGUGUCCGUCACAUGUCCGUGUGUCCGUGCUGUGUGUCCGUGUGUCCGUCACAGGUCUGUGUGUCUGUCACGUGUCCGUGUGUCCGUGUGUCCAUCGGUUCGUGUGUCUGUCUGUCCAUCCCGUGUCCGUCUGUCCAUCCGUCAUUUCCAGAAGAGCACGUUCCAGAGCAGCAGCCAGCAGGGGUGGGCGCCCAGGGUGAGGAGGGGGCUCAGGUGGGUUCAGGUGGGCUCAGGUGGG
rnacentral:lncRNA from 1 species